AGCUGGAAUAAAGACUAUUUAUGCUCCUGUGUCAGUUGGCAAUGGCGUUGUGAGCACUCCUCUAACCAAUGGAAGUGUAGCAGUUAAUAUAGAUAAGAAGGCUGAUGCUAAAGAUGGGAAGGCUGGGGAAACCGAACUUCUCACAGGCAGUGACAAGUCCCUUGACAAAGUGUCUAACUCCAGCAACGCUGACUCUGGUGUCUCUUCUGAUUCUGACAAACAAGGUCAGGCCCAGGAGUCAUCCUGAAUCUUCGGCUACAUCAAGUUUCAAGGCUCGCAUGAACUAGAUUAUUGGCAUACAGACGACAAUAAUUAAAAAUAAUAAUAAUGAUAAAUAUAUAAAUUUAUUUUGCACUUUACAGAUUAAAAAUCUGAGGUAUAAUGUGGUUCUUUAGCUUUCCAUGAAAUGGGUUUUAAAAGUGUUCAUGUUCCUCAAUCUGAACCUUCACGACAGCAAAAUUUAUAUGAGUCAGUUUUGAUCCAGUUUAAGAAACUACAGGAAAAAAAUUAAGUUUGAAACUUUUAGAGUAAAUCAUAAAUCUGAAAACAUGUUUGUGUCGAUAUUUGAAACAUUGUCACUGGUUUAUGCACCUGUGAGAAUAAAAUAAGACACAAACUUCAGCCUGUUGUAGUUUCAUACAGAUUGGACACGAAGCAGACGCUAAAGUCUGCAUCUGAUAAAGUGGGCGGAGCUCAGCAGUCACGCCUGCUGCCUCUGCAGGAAACAUCUCCAGGCAGGUGGAAGAAAAUGUUGUAGAGUGUGACGUCUGUUAAUGCAUAUAAUGUUUUUAUGUAGGAGAAAUAUAAUUAAAAUAUCAUAAUAUUUAAAGUGAAUACAUAAAAUAAAAUGGUUGCAUACUAAACAAAGCAUAAAUGUAAUGUGAAGGUUGGUGCUUUAACCCUUUCACUAUGAGUUGGCUUAAUGAAUCAGACCUUUACAAACAGCGAGACCUCAGAUGUUCAUGAGAAUUAAAUGAUUUUAGAUACUCUGGUGUGAUCAUUGUAAUGGGGGCGUGGCAUAAACUGAUUAUCUCCUUUUUUUUCUUAUGGCUUUUAUGAGUUUUCGGCCAAAUUGAGUGAACUUCUAGAUGAUUACAAAAACUAAAGUCUGUCUGUGUAAAUACAUUUAUUGUGCCUUAAAUAUUCAUUUGCAGUGAAACUUUGUUUGAAAAUAGAAACUUUUUCUGUGGGAAAUUUAGGGCAGAAAUCUGUAAAAUGUAAUGUUUCAGUAUUUUCUUGCAUUUACAUGUAAGCUCUUAAUUUGAAAAGUUCUGUUUCCAAGAUAAUUUCUGCUUUUAUUCAGCACGAGCUAGGAUUACUUUACUGGAUAAGAUGCUUUAAUUAUAUUCUAGAUUUUAAGUGUGAACGUUACAGUAAAAGGUUCAGUCCACAUAAUGAAACUGUCUGUGGAUGAAUCAGUGAAAUAUUUGCUGUAAGACUCAAAUUCAUCUUGUAAUCCUGAAAUGUCUUCCAUUGUGUGGGCGUUUACUGCUAAUAAUAAUGGAUGUAAAGCAUCGUAUAUUUGAAG